rnacentral:rRNA from 1 species
GUCCACGCCCUAAACGAUGUCGACUGGUUGUUGGGGGUUUGACACUCUCAGUAACGAAGCUAACGCGUGAAGUCGACCGCCUGGGGAGUACGGCCGCAAGGUUAAAACUCAAAGGAAUUGACGGGGACCCGCACAAGCGGUGGAUUAUGUGGAUUAAUUCGAUGCAACGCGAAAAACCUUACCUACCCUUGACAUGUCCUGGAGCCCGGUGAAAGCCGGGUGUGCCCGAAAGGGAACGGGAACACAGGUGCUGCAUGGCUGUCGU